rnacentral:lncRNA from 1 species
AAAAACCCAAGUACUAUAAAGACACUACUGAGGCCCAAGGCCGGGCAGGCCCGCUGUGCCACUGUUCUCCCCUGCUAUGAGAACCGAAUUCCCCAACACAUCGACGGCGAGGUUUCCUUUGCCGUCGGUAAGCGAUGUCUCAUAUCCUCUUCGACCAUAAUGGGCUAAAAAACACAGUUCCCCUGUGGAUUCAGCCCGUUUCCUUCUAUUCUUUAACAGGAAGCUCUGCUAGAAUCAGCCCGAGCAGGCGAAUCGUUCCUCACCCUCUUUUCACUCUCGGUAUGGACAGAGCCCCAGCAGAGCUGCAUAGCCACGAGCCGAGGGGAAGAUGCUGGCUCCGUCCGUCCACCCGCUCCUGUGGCUGUUUGGCUGCGUGCUCAUCAGAGAGCCUUCAGUAAAGUCAGCAACACCAAUUGACUUGAAUCUCAUCUGCACAGACAAGACUACUACAACCAAGUCCUCUUUCAUCCCUACAACACCAACAUCGCCCACACAGGGUGAAACGUCUAGUGGAAGCAAAAGCACUGCAGCUUCAUCAACUCGAGGUACUUUGUCUUUUUAUAGACUAACAAUAAGUGCAGACAAUUUCAUGGCAAUUAGCUUACUUGGUUUACACGGUGCAAGUUAUUGAAGCACUAACCUAUCUUGGCAUCGAGACAUCAGUAACACCCAAAUUCAUCUGAUAUCCUUACAAGCACUGAUAAAACAAGACCAAUUCCACUCAGGAACCUCUGCCUGGGAUAAACUUGAACAGCUGAAAGACUGAUCUACAUCUAGAAACAAGGCGGCACUUAUAGCACCUUUUAAAAUGCGCUUUUUUUUUUUACUUCCAAUAGUUUGCUUAAUCCAGCUUGUACCAAAAAUUGGAGAAUUCAGUAAGUUUUCUCAGAAUAAAGACAGAAGCCAAGUAAGUGGGAACA